rnacentral:lncRNA from 1 species
CGUCUUCAUCUGCUCCCGCCGCCUCGUCCAUUUCAUCCCAAUCUCUUCUUUUACUCUCAGGUACUUUCUACUUCCUCUGUCUAUUCAAGUUCGUUUCUUCCUGGAAUUAGCUUUGUUUGGUUCUGCAUAUAUAGUUUUAUGGGUUUGUGAUUUGAAAUUGGAUCAUGGGAUGAUGGGGAGAAGAAACGGUUGGGAAAUGGCGGUUAGGACGUCAUGGGGAACGUGGGCUUUUUAAGUGGUCCUUCAAGUUAAGGUGGAAUCAAAGAGUGAGUGUUACAUGGAACACACGAUGACACUCGCAAGAGCGGAGAGUGUUAGUUUUUCAUCAUCAGGGUGGUAAGUGGGUGGGGAUGUGGGUGUGAUUAGGAGGAGAUUUUUUCUGCAUUUCCGGAAUUAAAAGAAGUUCGCGCCCUGAUAUGUUCUGACGCGUGAGGGAUCUCUCCCUUAUUGAGUUCUCUCUCUCCACGAUCUGGAGAGUGGAACCGCCUCGAAGCGAGUUAAGCCUCUCUCUCUUCUGUAAACAUUUUGAAUGGGUCCCCGCCAUGUUGUGUUCCUUUUGUGUUCCAUGAGUAGGUUAAUUUUAGUUGAGGACUCUGAAAAAGUUCCAGACUAUGAUCGUAAAGAAAGCUAUUGUUUUAACGAGGAAACCAAGUGGCAAUGAGAGGCUGCAACUAGAAUAACAUAGAUGAUCCUGAUUACCGUUUGUUUGCCUCUCUUAAAUUGGGCCUGCUUAGGCUCUUGUUUGCUCAUGCAUUCAGAUCAAAUGCCAGAUAAAAUUCUUUUGGAUAUUUUUUGUCGAGUUGUAACUCAGUUGACUGAACCUGAUAGUAAUUUGAUUAGGCUGGACCACUGCUCCGGAUAUGCAGAACUUGACUAUCGGUUCAAGUGAAUAUAGUCUAUCGUAUUCAUAAGGACACGAUUCAGAACAAGAGGAGCAGUCUUUUAAAGUAUUUGUCUUGAGUGUUAAAACAAUGAUGCAUAAAUUUGUUUACUGAUUCAUUGUCAAGUCUAUAUAUUGAAGAUUUGAUUAAAAAAACUGUCAAGCGAUCAAAAGUCAAACCAAAUGGAAUUUUUAGAUUUUUGAACAUUGUUGACAAAUAGACCUUCAAAUUCUUGCUUCUACUAUACCAAUAUAUGUAACAAAUGUACCAUGGGCAGACUUUCUUAGUGUUGUUUAGUUUAGAGAUCCAAAUAAUCAAAUCAAUUAUAACCAUGAAACCUGAUUGUACAUUUUACAAAACCAGCAGCUUGGAUUUUCCUUGUUUCCUCACAAACUAAUUCCAGAUGUUUGCACUAGCAUUGCUUCCAAAGUGAUAUUAAAAGCAAUCAAGUAAAGCUUCUUAUAAUUUGUUGUCUUUAAUUUCUUACCAUCCUGUUCUUGCGAAAUCUGUGAACCAAAUACAUUUGGACCUUAAGGUCUUGCUACUCCCUAGUUUGCACUUGAUUACGAAAAUUUUUCAAAGUGAAGUGAAAGUUUAGGUUCAUCAUCCUGCAGGCCGGGAACCCCUCGUUUUAUUCACAGAACAACAGGGCUUACAGAUGAGACUUAUAACAAACCCUGCAUCAAUUUACAACAAGUUCAAAUUCUUUAUUUAUGUUUAAAAUAGGUUUCUUUGUUUUAUAAGAAAACAUUGUUAUAGUUGAUGAAAAACUGUUGUAUGAAUUUCUUCUUUGUUCAUUAAUCUUGUCGCAAUGUUAUGACUAUAUUAUUUUGGAACCCAAGUGGGCUUCAUAUGUCUCCACCAGAGGCCCAUCAUGGUCCAGUCCAAAUCUGCCGGUCGACUUUCAGUCCAUUAUUAAUCUCGUAACAUAUAUAGCACUUUAAAUGAACCUUCUUAAGGAUCUCUUCUGCACCAAUAUGUUAUAAAGUUAGUCUUGAUACUGUAGGAUAACCAGCAUCAUAUAUCUUCAUUAGAAAGGUAAAAGUAAAACUACCAGCUUGUCUUUGCAGGUUCGGUUUAGCGUGCUCUAAAGCAGAUUUGAGUUUCUGCUUGAGACCUGCCUGCAUGAAGUGCUCUACAAUGCAUUGGAAACAUUAUCAUAGAGUUGCACAUGAAUUUCAAUAUCUAACAUGGAUUGGAAGUGAACUCCAAGCGGAAACUCACUUUUCACUUUGGAUGGGACAUAAACGGUGCCCAUUAUUUACAAUGACGUUUCCCAAAAACAAGGAGCAAAACAUGGCCUCCUAUAUGAGGGAGAUAUAAAAGGAUUGAUGGACCCAUAACCGCUCAUGAUUGAGCAUAUAUUAGCUAAUUGCUUGGCUAUCAUUGUCCCAUUCUCUUUUCUUCCCCCUCCCAUUGAACAUUGAGAUAAUUGUAGAACACCUGGUCUUUGAUUGCAAGAUGAGAAUAGAAAAGAGAGUCUGAAUGGUGGGGAAGAAUGGACAGAUGGAGAAAGCAAGGGAAAUAGAAGCAGCAUGAAAAGCAGAGUCUCUUGAUAUAGAAGAAUAGAAUAAUUUGUUUCUUUCUAUUUAGAUCACUACAUAAAAUAAUUAAAAAUGUCUGAUUGCUAUGAUGCUUCUUCUUUUUUUUUUUGUUCAAUUUCUUUAAUUUUCUGCAUACAAGUAAAUGCUCUAAAAGAAACAUUCCUCUAGUAAAACUUUUAUUUCCAUAGCUUUUCCUGAUCCAAGCAGGGAUGGGUGAGGAAGCAGAUUUGCAUUUCAGUUGGGAAAAGUGAGUCUCUUAAAAGGAAAAAAAAAAGAACAAAAAAGAAUUGGAAGCACACGGGGAGUGGCUGCAGGAGUGACUUUUUAAGAUAUUUUGAAGCAUGUAUGACAGUCCUAAUGGAAAUUUCCUAUUAUUCUCAUCUUGUCUGGACGAGCAAAGAGAAUCGUAUUAUUGAACUAACAUUAUCAAAUGGUAAACCAACUUGGGCCAGCUGAAGUUAGUGAUUUGACACAUUUUUCUCGAUCAUCCAAGCUCAUUUGCAUUACGCUAGUCGAGGAUUAAACUUAGGGCUCAAGUCCAGACAACAACUAAUUUACCUUUAGCUUAUCAUCCAGUGCAUCUAAAAAUUCUUUGUUUCAUUUUGAAAUAUCAACACUUUUAAUAAUUUUAUAGAAACUUUGACUAACUAUAAAAAUUUUAAUGCUUGGUAUAUGUGAUUCACAGAGAGAGGAGGGGGUGGGGAGAGAGGUUAGAAGUGGCUAAUCCCCACCUUGCGCCAAGUGUUGAUACCAUCCAAACAAGUACUUAGUGAUUUAUAUGUAACGUAUUUUUUAGUUUGGUCAUCAUAUGCCAAUAAACCUAUCAUAUUAUCAUUAUCUUUUUAUGAGGUAUUUUACGUAAUAUUAGAGAACGUGGAAGUCAUAAAAUUGUAUGCUGAUAAAGCUGACCCGGGCAAUACUCUCAAUCCUGGGCCAGCAUGACGUGUGAUCUCGAUUUGCAAAUCCGGUCCACGGAACUCCACCGUCCCACAACCGACAAGCUUUCCUUUUUCCUUUCCUGCCACUGUUUUGUGAUUCCUCUUUUUAUUCCAAGCGCUCGUGUGAAAGCUAUGCACGCGGCCUCGUAGAUAUCGCAUAAGGUCUCCGCCACGUGUGGGCUCACUUUGGAAGUCCAGAUCGGAGAUCGGACUGCUGUGACCUGUUGCGCCCCUAUCUUCCUGAGAACGCGCAUAGACCUUUCUAUACGGGAGCCUGAUCUGCCACUGGUUUAGUCAUCCAAACAUAUCCCGUCCGUUCAUAUACGAGACCUUUAGGUAGAAGAAUUAUGAACCGCAGAUCCAAUGGUUGCACAAAGCCAUCCGUGGGGUCGACCAACACGUGGAUCGUUCUGUCUUUAGCUAAUGUCGAGUCAGACGGUGGACCAGCAGGGAAUCACGGAUCCAUCAUCAUCCCUCCCAGUCCCUACCCAACGUAGGGUAGUUCAACUUGGGAGAUUAGGUGCUGAGGUUGAGUAUAACUUGUAAAUCCCUCAUACUUAUUGGAUGUUGAUGGGCAUUGGAGAGGUACGGAUAUCGGAAAUUCUUCUUUAUUAGCUACUUGAUACCGCAAAUAAGGUCACAAUCUAGUCUUCCCAAGCGUAUAUCUGAUUGACAUUAGAUCCACAGUGCUCUAUCAGUAAUGAGGUUGGUGUUAGUGGCUAUAUCUACAUAUAUGUAAUUCAAUUUACUAUUGAUGAUUGGUUAGUGCUUGCUGUUAUCUGAUUGAAGGUCGGUUCUCUUACCUGGCGAUCAAAUUUUUGUUAAGUGAUGGUUUUGCUGGCUGAAUGGCGAUACUAGCUUCACACCCUCGUAUGGUCUUUUUUUCAAGUCGGAGCAAAUAUCAAUAGAUUGGUUGGGACUGUAUAUGUAAUUGGUAACUGAUGGUGUCCCCAACCAGAAGUUUAUCUAGAAGAAUGUUGCUUUAGGUCACCCCCGGUUCAUCAGAUUGAUGUGGCAAUCAGAGGUUGCUAUGGUGCACAAUUGGGUUGGUAGCAUGAUUAAGUCCUCGCCAUAUCGACAAAUUUGGUAGUCAUCUGGCCCGUGAUUUCUAGCUUUUCCUCCACUGAAGCCAUUUCGUGAACAUGCUACGUAAAAAGAAUUAAAAGGAACCGUGAAAAACCGAACAUUGUCGCGUUGUCAGCAUUCAUCAGAUAUAUUUAUUGUACUUUCUGUUCUGUUCAUGUAGAUCUUUGAAGAAAAUGUUUUCUAGACCGUUUGUAACUUGCAGAUAUUGCUGAAAGAAUUAAUAUGCUUGAGAAAUGGGUGUACUAAUUUGUUUACAUGCGGUG